UACGAAGGGGGCUAGCGUUGCUCGGAAUCACUGGGCGUAAAGGGUGCGUAGGCGGGUCUUUAAGUCAGGGGUGAAAUCCUGGAGCUCAACUCCAGAACUGCCUUUGAUACUGAAGAUCUUGAGUUCGGGAGAGGUGAGUGGAACUGCGAGUGUAGAGGUGAAAUUCGUAGAGAUCCGGAGGAACCCCAGAGGCGAAGGCGGCGCCCUGGCUCGCAACUGACGCUCAGACACGACAGCAUGGGGAGCGAACGGG
rnacentral:rRNA from 1 species